UACAGAGGUCUCAAGCGUUUGUUCGGAUUCAUUGGGCGUAAAGGGUGUGUAGGUGGCGCCGUAAGUCGGGUGUGAAAUUUCGGAGCUUAACUCCGAAACUGCAUUCGAUACUGCGGUGCUUGAGGACUGGGAGAGGAGACUGGAAUUCAUGGUGUAGCAGUGAAAUGCGUAGAGAUCAUGAGGAAGACCAGUGGCGAAGGCGGGUCUCUGGACAGUUCCUGACACUGGAGACACGGAAGGCCAGGGGAGCAAACGGG
rnacentral:rRNA from 1 species